rnacentral:snRNA from 1 species
AUGCUUGCAUCGGCAGCACAUGUGUUAAAAUUGGAAUGAUACAGAGAUUAGCAGGCCCCUGUGCAAGGACGACACAUAAAUUUAUGAAGAGUUCCACAUAUUU